AAAAAAACCCACAGUUUUUCUGUCGAGUCUGACCAUGCUCUGACCACAAAGAUACCCUUUGAAAAAUUUGUUUCCCUUGUAACCUUUACUGUGACUAAGAGAUAGUAUUCACUGACAAGUGCAAGAUGAGAAACACUGUAGGGAAAAACACUUUCCUGAAGCCUGCAAAAAUUCUGAAUGUAUUGCAGGUGCUGAAAAAAACCUCCAAGACAGUUCUGUUCCUUUCCCAGACCUACAAGGAGUCAGAACUUGAAGCAGAAAGCACCAGGCCUUGAGAACACAGCAGGAGGUACCAAACACCCGAAAUGAGCAGUGGGACCCAGGAGUGCCUGCACAGAAGGGAGCGGUGCUCACUCCAUUUCGGAGAGCUACCCAGAAGUGGUCAGUGAGCAACACUGAGCCUGCAGCGUGUCUCACACAGCACCGGGCUGAGGAGGGUGCCAGCAUGCACCUGGGGCUGCAGACCAAACCCCUCCUCUCCCUUGCUUUGUGCAGCAGUGGUGCUGCAGCAGUGCAGCAGUGACCGCAGCGCGGUGCAGCAGGAGCAGCCUGGCACACUCAGCCAGGCACCACAUUCAGGUUUAAACCUUUCAGGCAGAGAAGUGAACCGAACCUUCACUUCCAGUCUCCUGGGUAAUUCUUGUCACUGUUAAGCAAAUUCGGUGAAAGAAAAGCAGACACACUGGGCAUCACCUUCCAGGAGCAAUUGUGGGCAGGCAGCAGCACAGACAGUUGUAUGAGUGAACCUGUCAGCCCAGGCCUUUGGAGAUACUGAAGCUUUUGGCCAUGAUGCAGGUUCAGUGCCAAGCUGGUUGGCUGUAAAAACACACACAUACUUCCAGAAAGGAAAAGGUGCAGAACCAGGAGAGACUGGAGAGUUUAUAUAAACCUGAAGUGCUGUUAGGCAGUAAUGGAACAGUUACAGAUUUGCACCUAAGCACCUGAACUCCCAGUAGUGCCUCUUCACACAGCUGUGUGUCUGUUGGGUCGUGUCACUGCUCUCUAUAAAACAGCAGUUAGGAAAAUUAAUGGAGUUAGAUGCAUCAUCAAACAGGAAACAAUUAAUAAACCCAGGAUAUGUUAACAGUGUUCUAUCAAUCAUAAUCCCCUUAUGUCCAAACCCUGUAUUUUAUUUUGCUACAGGUCUCAAAAAAAGCACUAUAAAUGAAUAAAGAUCUAAAUGUGGAUAAUGGAAAGAAUCAAACGCAAGCAAGUAGAAUAACACUUCCUGUACAAGAAAAGCUUGAGACAUCAGCACUAGCCUGGAAAGUGGCAGAGCAACAAGAAAAUAACAAGUGUUUAAAGUAGGCACUUUAGGAAGGUAGAGGACAUAAAUCAGAUGCAUUUCUUCAGGGACUAUAUUAAUAACAUACACAUGAAGACUCCUUCUCCCAUCUCUCUAAACCUGCAAACUAAAAGCCAAAAAAUUUACAAAAUAUUAAAGAUGUUUUAGUGCAGAUUUUAAGUGACUGUUGGAACAUAUUGGCAGAGCAUAUUAUUUAGUUUAAUAAGAACAGAGAAAGCCUGCAUUGCCUCCCUGCAUUUACAUAUUAGGACAACGUUAUGAAAUAAGCAAGCCCUGAUACUUCACUGCUUCCCAUUCUCACUGGAAUCCCCAGAACAGUAUUCCACUCUAGGAUAGAUAGCACUGUGCUUCUGAAAGGAGGAUUAUGCACCCACAGCUGUGAAAGAUGUCCUUCUCUGUUGAACUCCCAAGUUUUCUAGCCUUAACUGCAUACUGCUUACUAUUCAGGUUAUCAGAGCAAAUAGCAUGAAGACUGAUGAUGGGCCAGCCUCAGAGUCACCAUUCCAGUUGGGCCAUGGCUUCACAAUGCAUUGGCACUGGUGGCAUGACUAAUUCAGGUAUUUAUUCCCAUUCACUACCAUGCUUUUGACUAACAAAAUCAAAACAAAAAGAAACUACCAACCUUCCUACACCCUUUCUGAGUUUUUGUUUAAUGUGAGACAAUCCUCUUAUUUGCUUCCAGCCAUAGUACUAUGAUGUGUUGAAAGACAUCAUGGGUUAUGGCCUUGAGAAGGAUCUCUUAAGCUGAUGUAGUCAUCAAAAAAAAUAUUCUCAAACUAAGUCGUCAGCAAGUUCCUUUGCCACAAGGCUCCAUUUCAGGACUGCAGGCAAACUCAGGGAGACAAGGAUACAUCAGCAGCACAGAAGAGACCCUCAGAAGAAUUCAUUUGCUCACAGGAGAGCAAAUAUAAUAAAGAAAAUAAAACUAAAUAAAAUAUAAAAUUAAGAUAACAAAAACCUACUUAGCCACCAGCUCACAUAAGUACCAAAAAGGAGGAUGGACACUGAAAAGAGGACAACAUACCAGUUGAGACAGAGAAUGCAUAAGAAGGCCAAGACUUACCCUAAAUGUAAAGGACAUUAACAUGCACUAAAACAAUGACGGCUCCAGUUAGCACCAAAGCAUUAGACAUCAUCUACCUUGGAGAAGAGCACGAGGCUUCUACAGCAAACCACUGAUUUCUUAACACUCCUUUCCAUGUUUUCAAGGGGAGAAAGGUUCCAGAAGUAUUUUUUAUAUGAUUCUGCUCUUUUACUCCCAGAAACACAAAGCCUUUGUUUUAACUGAGAUAACUCCCUGGCUGAGACCUGCUAGCACAGUUAAUUAGCACCUUCACUUCAGCCCCAACACCUCCUGUGCAGUCACACAGCAGCCUCCAAGGGCAACUCACAGCCUCAGCACCUCUGGGACGAGCCAUGAGCUUCUGCCCAGGAGCCCUGACACUCCCUGGCCUGGCAGAGGAAAUCCAUUUCAGUGGGCUGCUUUCAAAGCUGAAGAGUUCCUGGUUUGGAGUAGGAGGCAAUUCAACUUUUAGAACUAAUCCUGUCCAUGUCAGAGCAGUCUAGCCCUAAAUCUACACAUUUUUGUAUCUGCAUGCAUUAUAUAUGAUUAACUGCUACUGUUAGAAUAUUAAGAAAGUUUUAAAAAGAAAAAAAAAAACCAAACCCCAGAGACAAUUAUUUAUGCAAGAGAGACCGGAACUGGAACACCUAGCAAGAUCUUUUUCUGGUGUUGCCAUACAGGAACUUUGUUACAGAGGAUUUAUUCCAAGUUUUUGUUAUUUCUUGCCUUGAAAUAUUCUGAAACAAAAUAGGAUAGUCCCACUGUGCUGUGAGCUUAAACACACACACACACAAAGUAGACAGGUAAAAGCACUAAAAGCAAUGGUUCUGAGAAAGGAUUUACUUUUACUUCACAAGUAUAUGUGGGUGUGUUUUUAAAUAGAAAAAAGAUGUCUCCACUCAUCUUGCUCUGAUCCAUGCUGUGCCAACUUAAACCCUGCCAAUGCAUCUGAAUAGUCAAACAAACGUCUGUCCCUCCCCAAACAUCCACCAUUCACAUUAAAUAAAACACAUAACAAUAGAGGCAAAAUAGACCUGAAAAGAGCUUAUUUCCAAAUGCAAAGGUCUAACCUGAGGAUAGCUAUUUUCAUGCAAAUCUCGAUUCUUCUUGCUCAUAUACAUGAACCCAGAAUUAUCUGUUCAGUUAACAUUCUUAGCUUCUCUUAUGCAAUUAACAGGGAGGAGAAAAUUAAAGGAAAAGAGAAUGAAAAUCCCCCAAAGCAAUGAAAGAGAACCUUAGCUCUGAUGCUCCCAACUAGCAAAAGACCCUGAAAACAAACUACGUUCAGGGCAAUAGGGAGGGGAGAAAAUUCAUUGAACCCUCAAAUCUCUCUUGCACGGCAAAAGCCAGGCCAGCCUGCCACACCAUGGGAGAGUCCUGCUGUCAGCACCAGGUUAGUGACUGAUCUGCUCCCAGUCCCUUUUGGAGCAAGGGGGAAAUGCCUUCAAUUCAGCCAGCCUCCAAGUCAGUCUUACCUUAGCAAAGGUCAGGCAGUACAGAUGCUGAUGCACCACUGAAACACCUUCCCGCUGCAGUUGUUCAGCGUGUGGCCACCUGCUCCGUGAAACUUCCAUUCUAUUAUACAUACCCACUGCAGCAUGCCACUACUGGCUCAAAAGCUGAGUUUCCAGUUUGGAAACUGGAAAUACCAAAUUUCAACUCUGAUUUUUUUUUUUUUAAUCUGAAUGCAACAUCUAUUUUUUUUCAAUCGGGGUAAAGAAAAAAAUCAUUGCCUGUCUUUGAAAACACACACUUUUCGGUUUUGUCUUGAACAGCAGUUCCAGAGAAAGGCAGGAGAAAGCUACCAGAAUUGCCUGUGGUAACAACAGUGACAUCUAACCAAGCUCAGGGCAAUGCUGGAGCUGUGACAAGCUCUUAGAGAUACAGGCCAGGCUGUAACAGACCCUGUAUCUGUAUAAUGAACAACACCUCAACUGAAAUGUCAAGCUCAAUGAACUUCUUUUUGUGCAUAACGAAGUUACUCAAUUUUACCCCACUUGUGUUUCUUAGUUCCUUUAGGUAAGUACAUGCCUCUGCAAGAUAUAUGUCUGACAAAGCUGACAAUUUUAAAUUUAUUUUAAAGCAAAAUGGUGAAUUUCAAACAAAACUCAAUUCUAAACACAUUUACCUCAUAAUGCAAAAUUACCCCAUUAAAAUAAAUUAUUUGGUAUGGGACAGAAUCACUAAGCAGAUGAAGGAAGGAUGUGUGGUUUAGAGAGGACUUGAGGGAAAGGAAGAAUUUGACUAACAAGCAUUUGUAAGAAGAACAUUCAUAAACAAUGUUGCCCUUAUGCUACCAGAGAAAAUAAAAUUAAAUCGGCAUUUGUAAAAUUGUUAUUAAUUUCCUCUCAUUUUUCCCCAUUUAUUUCACAGAACAAAAUUUCUAACUACACAUAAAGCUAGGCAGAAAAGGUCUAAGGGAGACAUCAUUACGCCUAAGGAUGUUAAGGGCAAGCAGUCAGGGUAAGAGGAGUUAGCAGGUCCCACACCCCGCAGUGAAAACACCACAGUGGGAGAAUGGCCUGACCAGGUCUCCUCAUGACCAGGCUUGUCUCAGCACCUCAGCUCCCAGGCAGCUCUGUUAAUCCGCAGAGCCUCCACUUCCCUACAGUCUUUGAACAACAGUUCUCUUGCAUUGAAUGCAGAGAAUAACAGUGAUAACAUGAUGUAUACCUGCUGAGAACAAAGAGCUGUGUGGCUAAAUUUAACCAGCAUUUCUCCAAAUGUGUCAAAUAAUCCUGUGCUUUCAUUGUGUAAACCAUCUACAGAAAGCAGUGCUACACCAGGUAAGGAAUUUCUUAAAUAUGUUUCAAAGUUAUCAGUAGAUGUUACCUUUACUGUGCUAGCUGAUGUUUACAACAAUCGAGGUUACUUCAAACUCUGUGUGCUCCAGUUCACUUACCUACAGGAAUUCUUCCUUUACUUCUCUGUCCUCUGACAUGAAGACUGGUAGGGUCACCUUCGUAAUAAAGGACAGCUAAAUACACAUUUCUGUGUAAUACCUCUGAAAAGUUAUAAAACCUGAAUUGUGAACUUUAUUCAAAUUUUUCAGGAAAUAAUUUUGUUCUACACAACCCAAAACCAGUGAAAUUUUAGGGACCUUCUUCUACAAUGGAUUACCUUGCCUCUUAAAAAUUUACAACAGAAGAGCUAGACCAUGUUAUUUAGUUCUCCUAGUUAGGCAUCUGUUGGGUUUGGAAAGGGACUUUUUAUGAGCUCAGAAUUCUGCCUGUGAAAGGCUUGAAAGGACUCUCAGGAUCCCUUUGGUUUUGUCCUGAGCUCAAACCCACAGAAAGACUGCCCCAAUACCAAACUGAUAUUUAAGUAUUUUAGCUUUUUGUAGCCAGGGCUCCAUCUGCAAGCCCAGUUCCUUUAGUCUGGAAGAAUGGAUCACUGGACCCAUUAUUAUCAGUCAGGUGUUCUCUUAUCACCCACCUUCCUCAAGAUAAAAGCCUUGCUGUUUAAAAUGCAAUCAGCAUCCUUGCUUGAGCCCAGCCUGCUGCACUAAAAAGGGUCUGAACCCUAAUUAGUGCCAAAAGCAGUUUUAUACUUUCAAGUACUUUGGCACAUAAGCAAGUGCUCAUGUCUGGAGAUGGAACAUUCAGACUGGAUUCAUCACCUCCUACCUCUCUUCAGUAAAAUUAGUCUGCAGCCUCACCCCGAGCGUGUCAGGCACAGCUCAUGAUGCCUCACUAAGCACCCUGGGAAAUUCUCAUCAACUGUUGCCUAUGGCAAGCAAAGGCUCAUCUGCUAAUUUUGUUCCGUCUACAAAAACCUUAUCUGUGACUUCUUUUCCACAGGAUCCACCCUGCACUCUGGAUUUUAGAAAGCUAACAAUCAUUCCAUUUUGCCAUGAAAGGAAGGCAUCUUUGUUAGAUUGUGCCAAGUGCUUUGCUAACAGCCAUUUUUAGACAGCUGACUUGCUAUGCUAUCUUUCCCGGGAAUAUUGCCUUGCUGGAACAGAGCCAUCAUCAUCACUUGAUGUCUCAAAGGGAGGAGUGCUUACACUUGAUUUCUGUCAAGGAUCAACAACAAGGUGUUCCUUGUCCAGAAGUUGAGAAGAUUGCAGACACAUGGGUGACAUUAAGCAGUGGAUGCAAUGGACACACUUCUGUGGGGAUGAAGUCACAGGGCUGAAAUUGGAGUAUCCAUAGGUGCUUUCACAUUGGUUUCCAGAGGAGCUUGAGGAUUGCUGGACAUGGUCAGUGCUGAGUGGAGUCCUCUCUCACAGGGCAAAGGACCGUGAUGCGAUGCUGCUGAGAACCACAGAGCUCAGUGCACCUGAGAAGCAGAAAGUGCUGUUCUGGGACAGAAAUGCAUCUACCCCAAAAGCAGAGCACAUGGACUUACCCCAAAAGCAGAGCACUUGGACUUACCCCAAAAGCA